GACGAACGCUGGCGGCGUGCUUAACACAUGCAAGUCGAGCGGUAAGGCCCUUUCGGGGGUACACGAGCGGCGAACGGGUGAGUAACACGUGGGUGACCUGCCCUCAGCUCUGGGAUAAGCCUGGGAAACUGGGUCUAAUACCGGAUAUGACUCCAUGACGCAUGUUGUGGGGUGGAAAGCCUUGUGCGGCUGAGGAUGGGCCCGCGGCCUAUCAGCUUGUUGGUGGGGUGAGGCCUACCAAGGCGACGACGGGUAGCCGGCCUGAGAGGGCGACCGGCCACACUGGGACUGAGACACGGCCCAGACUCCUACGGGAGGCAGCAGUGGGGAAUCUUGCGCAAUGGGCGAAAGCCUGACGCAGCGACGCCGCGUGAGGGAUGACGGCCUGGUUGUAACGU
rnacentral:rRNA from 1 species